UACGGGGGGAGCAAGCGUUGUUCGGAUUUACUGGGCGUAAAGGGCGCGUAGGCGGCCACUGCAAGUCAGUUGUGAAAUCUCCGGGCUUAACCCGGAAAGGUCAACUGAUACUGUGCGGCUAGAGUGCAGAAGGGGCAACUGGAAUUCUUGGUGUAGCGGUGAAAUGCGUAGAUAUCAAGAGGAACACCUGCGGCGAAGGCGGGUUGCUGGGCUGACACUGACGCUGAGGCGCGAAAGCUAGGGGAGCGAACGGG
rnacentral:rRNA from 1 species